rnacentral:rRNA from 1 species
UACAGAGGUCUCAAGCGUUGUUCGGAUUCACUGGGCGUAAAGGGUGCGUAGGCGGUCGGGUAAGUCUGACGUGAAAUCUUCAAGCUCAACUUGGAAACUGCGUCGGAUACUAUUCGGCUCGAGGAAUGGAGGGGAGACUGGAAUUCUCGGUGUAGCAGUGAAAUGCGUAGAUAUCGAGAGGAACACCAGUGGCGAAGGCGAGUCUCUGGACAUUUCCUGACGCUGAGGCACGAAAGCCAGGGGAGCAAACGGG